rnacentral:rRNA from 1 species
AUUGAACGCUGGCGGCAUGCUUUACACAUGCAAGUCGAACGGUAACAGGUUAAGCUGACGAGUGGCGAACGGGUGAGUAAUGCAUCGGAACGUGCCCGAUCGUGGGGGAUAACGCAGCGAAAGCUGCGCUAAUACCGCAUACGAUCUGAGGAUGAAAGCGGGGGACCGUAAGGCCUCGCGCGAUCGGAGCGGCCGAUGUCAGAUUAGGGAGUUGGUGGGGUAAAGGCUCACCAAGCCACCGAUCUGUAGCUGGUCUGAGAGGACGACCAGCAACACUGGGACUGAGACACGGCCCAGAAUCCUACGGGAGGCAGCAGGGGGGAAUUUUGGACAAUGGGCGAAAGCCUGAUCCAGCAAUGCCGCGUGCAGGAAGAAGGCCUUCGGGUUGUAAACUGCUUUUGUACGGAGCGAAAAGGCCCUCUCUAAUACAGUGGGCUCAUGACGGUACCGUAAGAAUAAGCACCGGCUAACUACGUGCCAGCAGCCGCCGUAA